ensembl:lncRNA
GGUGACCCAGAGGCCACUUUGACCACCCUCUCCUGGCCCAGAGCUAUUCCCUGUGCUGCAGAAGCACCUGUGCAGCCCCUGCUGGGAGGUGAGGGACUCGGCGCUAGAGUUCCUGACGCACCUGAGUAUGUGCUGGGGAGGGGAGGCCAACUUCAGGGGAGGUGCUCCUUGCUUCUGAUGUACCCAAGCUCGCCUGGCAACUCCUGCGAGACCCUGAGAGCUACGUCCGUGCAAGCGCAGUGACCGCCAUGGGGCAGCUUUCCAGCCAAGGCCUCCAGGCUGCCUCCGAUAGCCCUGGGCAUCCAGAGGUCCAGCAGGGCCUGGUUGGGGAGCUCCUGCAUAUCCUGUCCGUGGACUCGGGAGGGGUUCCCGCGAAGGGCAGUCACCCGGGUCUUCACUGAGUGGCUGAGGAACAGCCAUGCUGAUGUGAUCCAGGACGCGGGUGGUUUGUGGCCACUGUGCUCCAGAUGGUGAGCCGGGACCUGGACUGGGAAGUCCGGGCCCAGGGCCUGGAGCUGGUGCAGGUGUUCCUGGCCCAGACACUGGGGCAGCCCAACCCCUCCUGUCCCUAUGCCGUGGCCCUCCCCAAGGUCACCCCACCCAGCCCACUCCCUGAGGUGCUGAGGACUCUCUGCCAGAUGCAGAUCUUUGACUUUGCCUUUCGGUGCUUUGUUUGACUGUGAUCGACCUGUGGCACAAAAGGCUUGUGACCUCCUCCUCUUUCUGAGGGACAAGAGUGCUCCCUGCAGUGGCCUGCAGGAGGCUGGGGACAGCUCUGAUGUGGCCUCUGUGGAGGCCACCCUGGAGAGGUGGCAGGUGGGUGAGCAGGGCCAGCCCCUGGGGAGCCUAGAGCCCGAGGUGGUGCUGGCUGCCUUGAGGUCCAUGGACCUGGAGGGCCUCCAGAGCAGGCUGGCCGAGAGCAGCGACCACGUGGAGAAGAGCCCCCAGUCGCUCUUGCAAGAUGUCCUGGCCACAGUGGCCCUGCUGGAGGAGAAUGUGGCCGACUGCUACUGAGGCCACGUGCCUGUGGGCUCCAAGCAGGACUGGCUGCACAAGUACCAGAUUAGAAAACCCCACAUUUUGAUGAAUUAUUAAAAGAAAUAGCUCAUUUUCUACAUAAAACAUUCCAGGUCAAUUUUGCCUUUGGGUUAAGCCCAGGCUCUGGUUCUGUUCUUCUGCACGUGGCUGUCAGGUGUCCCCCUUGCCAUUCACAGAGGAGCCCGCCUCCCCACCCCCCUGUGUGCUCUCUGCGCCUUGGUGGAUCCGUGACCCCUGGGAGAGGGCUCCUUCCUGGGCUCUGCCCGCCCCCUGCUGGAUGAGUCUGUCUUCAUGCCACACUGAUGGAGUUGCUCUAGCUCUGCAGUAGACAGUAACAUCAGGUAGUGUGAUGCCUACAGCUUCUGCUUUUCUUCCUCAGCAUUGGUUUAUUACUCGGGGUCUUUUGUAGUGCCAUAUGAACUUUGGGAUUGCUCUUUCUAUUGCUGUUGUAAUAUACGGUUUGAGAUUUUGGUAGAAAUGACAUUGAAUCUGUAGGAGACUUUGGGGAGUAUGACCAUUUUGACACCAUUGCUAGUCUCAACCCUAGAACUCAGGACAUUUUUAAUAUAUUUGGGUCAUUUUGGUUUCCUUCAUCCAUGUAUUAGCAUUUUCAGUGUGCAGGACUUUCACCUUCUUAAGUUUAUUCUUUACUUUAUUCUGUUUUCCUUUGUGUGUGUGUGUGUGUGUGUGUGUGUGUGUGUGUGUGUGUGUGUUACUGGGGAUUGAAACCAGGGGUGCUCUACCACUAGAUACAUCCUCAGCCUUUUUUUUGGGGGGGGGACUGGGGAUCGAACUCAGGUCUCUUGCACCUGCACAGCAGGCGGUGAAACCACUGAGCUAAAUGCCCGGCCCCAUCCCUUUUUAUUUUAAAACAGGAUCUUCCUAAGUUGGCCAGGCUGGGGUCAAACUUGGGAUCUUCCUGCCUCAGCUGCCUGAGUAGCUGGGGUUACAGACAUGCACCACCGUGUUCUUUUUUAUUCUAUUAUAAAUGGGAUAAUUUUUCUCUUGGUACUGGGGAUCGAACUCAGGACCUUGCACCUGCAAGGCAGGUGGCGGAAGCACUGAGCUAAAUCCCCAGCCCAGUUUUUCUUGAUUACAUAUUUUUAUUAUUAUUUCAGUUUUUAUUGGUACAUGUUUGCAGUACAUAAUGAUUUCAC